GAUGAACGCUGGCGGCGUGCCUAAUACAUGCAAGUCGAGCGAACAGAUGAGGAGCUUGCUCCUCUGACGUUAGCGGCGGACGGGUGAGUAACACGUGGAUAACCUACCUAUAAGACUGGGAUAACUUCGGGAAACCGGAGCUAAUACCGGAUAAUAUAUUGAACCGCAUGGUUCAAUAGUGAAAGACGGUUUUGCUUUCCCUUAUAGAUGGAUCCGCGCCGCAUUAGCUAGUUGGUAAGGUAACGGCUUACCAAGGCAACGAUGCGUAGCCGACCUGAGAGGGUGAUCGGCCACACUGGAACUGAGACACGGUCCAGACUCCUACGGGAGGCAGCAGUAGGGAAUCUUCCGCAAUGGGCGAAAGCCUGACGGAGCAACGCCGCGUGAGUGAUGAAGGUCUUCGGAUCGUAAAACUCUGUUAUUAGGGAAGAACAAAUGUGUAAGUAACUAUGCACGUCUUGACGGUACCUAAUCAGAAAGCCACGGCUAACUACGUG
rnacentral:rRNA from 1 species